GAUGAAGAACGUAGCGAAAUGCGAUAAGUAAUGUGAAUUGCAGAAUUCAGUGAAUCAUCGAAUCUUUGAACGCACAUUGCGCCCUCUGGUAUUCCGGGGGGCAUGCCUGUUCGAGCGUCAUUACAACCCUCAAGCUUUGCUUGGUAUUGGACAUUGCCAGUUUCUGGCAGGUCUUAAAAUCAGUGGCGGUGCCAUUUGGCUUCAAGCGUAGUAAUUCUUCUCGCUUUGGAGAUCCAGGUGGUUACUUGCCAAUAACCCCCAAUUUUUUCAGGUUGACCUCGGAUCAGGUAGGACUACCCGCUGAACUUAAGCAUAUCAAUAAGCGGAGGA
rnacentral:misc_RNA from 1 species